CUCAUGGAGAGUUCGAUCCUGGUUCAAGAUGAACGCUGGCGACAUGCUUAACACAUGCAAGUCGGGCGGGAAGUGGUCUUUUCAGUGGUGGACGGGUGAGUAAGGCUUAAAAACCUUCCCUUGGAAGGGGAAUAAGAGAUGGAAAGGGCUGCUAAUACCCCAUACGAUGAGGAGCAAAAGGAGGAAUCCGCCCGAGGAGGGCUCGCGUCUGAUUAGCUAGUUGGUGAGGCAAUAGCUUACCAAAGGCAAUGAUAAGUAGCUGGUCCGAGAGGAUGAUCAGCCACACUGGGACUGAGACAGGGCCUAGACUCCUACGGGAGGCAGCAGUUGGGAAUUUUUCGUAAUGGGCGAAAGUCUGUUGGAGCAAUGCCACUUAAAGGUAGAAGGCCUACGGGUCAUGAACUUCUUUUCCCGGAGAAGAAGCAAUGAUGGUAUCUAGGGAAUAAGCAUCGGCUAACUCUGUACCAGCAGUCGCGGUAAUAUAGAGGAUGCAACCUUAUCUA
rnacentral:ncRNA from 1 species